GGCUUCGUGGCUCAAGAGCGUUAGUUGUGCUAAAACCUUGCUGUCGUGGGUUCGAAUCCCACCGAGGCCG
rnacentral:tRNA from 1 species